rnacentral:lncRNA from 1 species
UUUUCAUCACUACACGUACCUACUAUGUAAUUUUAAGUUGAAGUAAGUAUAACCGGUAAAACCAGGAACUAUAUAUCUUACCUAUAGAGAACAAACUUGUCACUAUAUUGUUACAAAAUGUAAAAACCUCCAAGCAAACUAUUACUGAAUACAAUGAAGAAUUCAAGUUGGAAAUAGGUAGUUUCUUUAUCCCACACCUCAAUAUUAUUAUGGAAUACAUAUUUGGGGUCAGAAGAGGAUCCUUUUUUUUUCCUUCUAAUUUUUGUUGGUGAUCACUUUUUAUACUUUAUAUGAAAUUUUUGGGGGUUCUAAUAUUGCAGCUCCUACGUUUUGUCAAGGUCUCACAAUUGCUUCAGUAACUCAAUAAAUUAAAGCUCUUGCAGAAAGGAAGUAACUCGGAAGAACAGAAAUCAUCCAACACAAUCGAAUUAAAGGCAAAUCAGAAGAGAUUUUGCAGCACCAUAAUUUACAGAAGAAAAAUCAGACAAUGAGCGAAAAAUGCAUAAUUCUACCUUUUUGUUUGUUUGCAAAAGAGAACCUUGAAGAGUAUUUAUUUGAGUGAACACAUAAUGAAUGUGGUGUUUUCC